UACGUAGGGGGCAAGCGUUGUCCGGAUUUAUUGGGCGUAAAGAGCGUGUAGGCGGCCAAGCAGGUCCGCUGUGAAAACUCGAGGCUCAACCUCGAGACGUCGGUGGAAACCGUUUGGCUAGAGUCCGGAAGAGGAGAGUGGAAUUCCCGGUGUAGCGGUGAAAUGCGCAGAUAUCGGGAAGAACACCCGUGGCGAAGGCGGCUCUCUGGGACGGUACUGACGCUGAGAGACGAAAGCUAGGGGAGCGAAUGGG
rnacentral:rRNA from 1 species